rnacentral:rRNA from 1 species
UAGGGAAUCUUGCACAAUGGGCGGAAGCCUGAUGCAGCAAUGCCGCGUGAGUGAAGAAGUUUUUCGGAAUGUAAAGCUCUGUUAUAUGGGAAGAAGGUUUAAGAGAGGCAAUGUUCUUAAUGUGACGGUACCAUAUGAGAAAGGGACGGCUAACUACGUGCCAGCAGCCGCGGUAAUACGUAGGUCCCGAGCGUUAUCCGGAAUUAUUGGGCGUAAAGGGCGCGCAGGUGGUUUGUUAAGUCUGGUGUGAAAUUUUUGGGCUCAACCCAAAAAGGUCAUUGGAAACUGGCAAACUUGAGAGCAGGAGAGGUAAGUGGAAUUCCUAGUGUAGCGGUGAAAUGCGUUGAGAUUAGGAGGAACACCAGUGGCGAAGGCGGCUUACUGGACUGCAUCUGACACU